UGUUUAUAGUAAGCUGAGUAGUAUUUGUUAAAUCUAUUGUAUCUAUAAUUUGAUAUUCUGAAGGAUUAUCCAUAAUUUCUAAAAAUAUACAACUAUCACUGAAAUUUUUGGAAGACCCUGCAACUAUACAUAACAAAGCAAUGAGUUUAUUAUAAUUUAAUAAAGUAUUUAGUAUUUUUAUUAUAAAAAAGAAUGUACCAUUAUUUUCUACUGUUCCUACUUUAACUUCUUGUUCUUUUAAAGCCUUUUCUGCUAUUUUUAAUUUCUCCUCUAAAAUUAACUUUUCAUUUAACAGUUGAGCUUGUAUACUUUUUUCUUCUUUAACUUUAUUCUCCAUCACAUUUUUCCAUUCAGUUUGUUGUUCUUCUCUCCACUUUUCCAUUUGCUCUUUCAUUUUCAUUUCCAAUAUUCCUUUCUCAAGCUUACUUACACUUAAUGCUUUUUGCCAUUUUUGUUUCUCUUCAUUCAAUUUCUUUUCAAAUUCAACUCGUUCAUUUUUCAAUUUUUCUAAUAAUUCAUAUGUUAAAUAUUGCGCUGACUUUGUGAUGGCGCGAAGGAAACGUGGCAAGAAUCGGAAUCAACGCGUGUACACGCGUUGACGAGCCGAUGACGAGCAAAGGCCAGGCCCCGAGCAUAACUUUAUUCCAUUAGGCCUUAAUUUGUGUCAAUUCGAGCCGCCUACCCAGUCGUUAUCUCUUACCACGCGAGACGAAACAACUGUGUUAAUUAGGAGCACAUUCGUUUAGAUUUUCGUCGAUCUAACGGAAUCACAGCAAAUCCUUAAAAUCUCACCGACAACACAAUGCUAUCAUUCAACGGAGAAGAAGAAGGAAAAAAGAAGAAGAAUAGGAAGCGGAAAAAGAAAUAUUCACACGAUUUAACUAGCCGUCCAAUUCGCUAUUUGAAAUCGUUACACUUUGCUUUGGCAUAAAUGUCAUUUUUUUCGAUCAGCGAAAUCAGCAUCGAGAUGAAAAAUGCCUGAAACGCUUUCUACGAACAGAAAGACUUUCUAAAAGGCCGCCGCGUUUAGAGUUAUAAAUUGCGACGCAUUUGCGCAUUCAGUUGUUUUUGCUUGCCGGAUGUCGUCAUUAAUUCAAAUUAAACAGCAAAAAAAAAAAAAAGAAGGAAAAGAAACUGGAUGAGGAAAUAAAAAAGUUGCUGCAAUUUUGUAUAAUUUCACUAGCCGGCAGGCACAAGUUGCAGAUAGCGUUUGGCAACGUUGGUCUACGAUUUACUCGAUCCGCUGUGCGCGACCACGUAAGUGACAAGCACACGUGACGCGUGUUAUGAUUCCAUAGCUACAUAAUUCCGGCUUGUCGUAAUUUAAAUAGAAUUAAUUACUGCACCUGUGUGAACUUCACUGUGCUCUCGACCGCGAUCGUCUACGCCGACACGUUUAUAUUCCGUGUACACGUAACAGCUUUGAUAAGAUUAUAAGUGAAGGUCCAUCGGACCUGGCCACGUAUCAAACACGGAAAAAUACAUGUUCAUUGCCGCAAUAACAUUUACACAGAUAUCGUCGAACAGCGACCGAACAUUGUAAAAUCAGAACACAAUCGAAACACAUCAGCAUAUGACCGUUACUUAGCGCAUCUUUG
rnacentral:misc_RNA from 1 species